UCUAGAGUCCAUGGCCCCUGCUGAAAACUGAGAGGAUGGGGCUGCCAUCCAAGCCUGAGGGGGUGAGGUCACUACCAGAGUACCAGAGGAUAGAGCCGCGGCACAGUCCUGAGGGAUUUACAGCUGGAGGGGAAUUUUACCUCAGGAUGGACCAUGGCCCAAACUUUACCCAUCCCUGAAUUAGAUGAGAUUUUGAACAUAACGUUGAUGCUGGAAUGCGUUAAGACUUUUCCGGCAGCCAGGAGAAGACCAAGACACACCAGAAGAAUUCCAUCUGACAAUGAAGGCAGAGAUUGGGGUUAUGCAAUUGCAAGCCAAGGAAUACCAAAGAUUGCUGGCAAACCACCAGAAACUACGAAGAGGCAAAGAAGGACUCCCCUACAGGUUUCAGAGAAAAAGCAAGGUUCUGCCCACUCUUGUUUAAGACAUCUAGCCUCCAAGACAGUGAGACAGUACAUUUCUGUUGUUUUAAGCUACCCAGUUUGCGGUACUUUGUCAUGGCAGCCCUGGGUAACUAGCACAGACUCUGACAUCCUAUGCUGUCCCAUACAUUGAUAGCCCCCUCACUCUACUCAUGCUCUGAAUCCCAUGCCAGACCAUCUUUGAUGUAAACACCUUCAUUGAUCUGCUUGGGCUCUGACAUCCCUCACUUAGCUCCCCUUAAACAUGGAUGGCUUCCUUUCUCCUCCUGGCUUCUGAUUCUUUACACCAAACCAACCCCCACAAGGAACAACUUUUUCACUUUCUUCAGGCUCUGCCUCCACUUCAGGCUGCCUUCAUCUGUGGUUCCCCUCCUUACCCCAGUUAAGCACCAACAUCUA